GUUUCUAAAACUUUAGCUUCUAAAUGUGAAAAAAUUCUUUUGUUUGAAGCUAACUUUUUAAAAGCGUCUACGGCUUCUCUAUGUAGAUUUUCAAAAGGCUUUUGUAAUUGAGAAUAAGACAAUUUAUUAAUAGAUUCAAGUUUAGAAUGACUUAUAUUCUUCUUCUUCUUUUUGUUGGCCACAAAGUAAAGCUUGACCGAUUUGUCACUUGAACUUGAGCUUUCAUCACUUGAAGAAUCACUUUCACUCUCCCAAGCAACAUAGACUCUUAUAGACUUGCUAGUUUUCUUGUGAUGGCCUUUCUAUUUGUCUUUCUUGAUCAAUGGACAAUCUGACCUAUAAUGACUGACUUUUCCACGACUGUAACAUGAACCUUUAUGUUUACCUUUCUUAUUAUCAUCUUCCUUUGAGGAGUUCGAUAGCCUUCUAAAGUUGAUUAAGUUCUUGUCGGAGUGCUUGAAUCCAUUUUUCAAAAACACAUUUUUCCAAACCACGCAAUUCACCCCCUAUUGUGUGAAGUCUCAAGUCUAAUAAGGACCAUGUCAGCGAUGAGAGAUUUGUAUUCUUCUUGGUUAUUGCUGGAUUUGAAUUCAAACUUCAGUGCUUGUUCAAUCAGUAUGUCUCCAGAAACUUCUAAGACUAUUUCAAAGCCUCCCCCCUUUAUGUUUGAGGAACCAUCGACCAAUAAUGUUGACUCUAAGGGCCUCUCCUCAUUUACCAGCGAACUAAAUUAUGCCAAAAUAACGUGCCAUAGCUUAUGACUUGAUGCUUCCUCAAAGGUCAUUUUAGAGCUUCAAAUUGAAGCUCUAAUGGGGAUCAUAACUUAGAACCUCAACCUUUCUCUCACUCAUUGUCGCAAAGUUUAAGAAGAAGAAGAGGAAAAGUGAAGCACAUAAGAAGAGAGAUAAGUACAUGAGUCGAAGCUUCAUCACCUUCACUCCAUCCUUGCCGGAGCCACCGUGUCAGAUGUGUUAUGGCUUCCAUCAUUGCAUCAAUCAAAGUUACCAGGUUGAAGAGCACACUUCAGAGAAUCGUGGCCCUCAAUCAAUUGCUGGAAUCCUUGCACCAUUGCCAUUUAAUUUCACCUAAAAGCUUCAGGGUUCAUCACUUUCAAGCUUCGAUCUAAACAAACGAGGAGGUUCCAGGGUUUUUCAGGGCCAUUUUUCAACUCAGGGUGAGAAGAGGAUUGAGAUGAUGUAAUUGUUGGUUAUUUCUGGGUUCUCCGCCGCCGCGGGGAGGCGAUGCCGGUGCGGAGGAGACGGUGAGGAUUUGUAAGAAGGGCAUGCGCACAUUUCUGAACCUCCCCCUUCUAUUUUUACGUGUU
rnacentral:lncRNA from 1 species